GCUUAGCUGUAAACUUUUAUUUACAUCUAAAUCGCCAGGGAACUACAAGCUAAGCUUUAAACCCAAAGGACUUGACGGUACCCCAUAUCCCCCUAGAGGAGCCUGUCCUAUAAUCGAUAAUCCACGUUUAACCUCACCAUUUUUAGUUAAUCAGCCUGUAUACCUCCGUCGUCAGCUUACCACGUGAGCGCCAAUUAGUGAGCCUAAUGUUAUUCUACCAAAACGUCAGGUCAAGGUGCAGCAAAUGAAAUGGAAAGAGAUGGGCUACACUUUCUAUAUUAGAAAAAACGAAAAACUACUUAUGAAACCUAGUUAGAAGGCGGAUUUAGCAGUAAAAAGGAAUCAGCAUGUCCAUUUUAACCCGGCACUGGGGUGUGU
rnacentral:rRNA from 1 species